rnacentral:lncRNA from 1 species
CUACGACUGUGUUCUGAGGAGGUGCUUCAACAACUUGUAACACUAAGUAGCUUCCAAAACAGCACCAGAGUAGAGCCUGCACUAAACACCAACAACAUGUAAUACUAAAUUCCAGUGGAUUUAUGUCGGUGCAGUGUCGAUAAAAUCAUCAAGCUUCAUUGAAAGUGUAUUACAAAUCAAAGGUAGAGACUCCAAUGCCAUACUAGAAUAGAGGAUGUGGUUUAUAUUGAUCACUUGUCGUUUACUCCUGUUCAAGAACAAAAAAGAGAAACUCCAAUCAGCAAAAGUACAAUUUUAGGCUAUUUCCCUUCAGUGCUAAUAUACAAACUACAAACUAUUGAUGUAGAAUCAAACUUUAAACUGGCUCAAACUUUGUCCAUACAAUGAAAUUUUAAACCACAUAAUGAAGCAUGACAAUCAAGACCGGAAUCAGAAUAAGGGAAUGUUGAAUUUGAUGAGCUUUGGCACCAUAGAAAUGCAAGUUUUGGAAGAUUCAGUCCCAGUUGCAUCACAACCAGGCAUCCACCUUCUUUUCCUUGAACUGAUAUGUUUCAAUAAUGGACUGAGAAUUCCAUAUAAAUUCAGCAAUAUGUUUUCUACAUAUAAAUUCCAUAUAAAUCCACAAUCAGUCCUAAUGGUCUGAGAAUUCCAUAUAAAUUCAGCAAAAUGUUUUCUACAUAUAAAUUCCAUAUAAAUCCAUAAUCAGUCCCUGCCAAAUAAAUUCAGCAAGCAGAAUUCCAUAUUGUAAACAAUAUGUUUCCAUAAUGUGAUAAGAGAAACCAGUUUAAAAAGACCAUUGAAAUGGGUUCUAAUUGACAAAUUCUGUUCCAACUGGAACUACAGUCUCUUUAGUAUCUCAAAUGAGCACAAAACACAAAAGUGAGAAUUUGUUCUUGCAGGUCUGCUCCUCACCAUCCGUAGUGUCUUCAUCCGUUGCUGCAGCUAUCAGUUACUAUAAGUACUUAAGUCGUGAAAGAGUAACCUUACCGUGACACCAUACCUCAGGCUUAAAUCAGUAGUUAACAUCAUACCUUGGCCUUUUGCAUUGAUCACCCUCUUGAUUCGUUCUUCACAUCAACAAUAGAUGUCAAUAUCUCUGAUUUAUUUUUUCGCAAUUGAGUCCAACAAUGUGGUAGUAUUAUCUAACAGGAUAAAUAACAGAAUAAAAAAUUCUUACUCUACUCAUUGCAAAACCACUGUUUUUAAGAAUCUCCAUGAUGGUGACUACAGUUGUUUCAACAUUGAGAUGUAAGUGAUAAAUAAUCAUCCUUAAAGAUAAAAGUUGCUAUAAAUGAACAACAUCAUGAUUAGCAGGUCAUGUGUUAACUGGAAAUUAUUGAUCUUCAGGCACAAACACAACCGUAUCAAGGUUUUCUAACUUGGCUCAAAAACGUAUUAGAGCAUGAUAUCACCAUGUUCUCAUUUGGAUUCUCUGCUGUAAGGACCUUGUUGAGAUUUGACUUGCUUCUACUAUGAACUUUAACAGGGCUUCUGCUUUUUUACUUCCCCUAUUCUGAUCAGCUGGAGCUUUGCUAACAAUUUUCCAACGGGACUUCUAAUUUUUUCUAGAUGGGCUUCUGCCGAAGCUUCAAGUUAAGGGUGUGGCGAAAUCCCAGCAAUAUCUCAAGAGCGUUAAAGAAGGCAAUAAAAUAAAAUUAAUAGCAACAAUAGCAGCAUAUGAUCCACAAACACAGAGAAUACAUGUUCGGAUUGGAUAAAACAGCACAUAAGUCAAAUAUAAGAAAUAACUCAACCAUGUGUUUUGCUUCUUUAAUGAAUAACUAGCCUCCAACUUCUAUUGACAAUUACGGAAGAGGGAAAGUCUACUAUAUACAUAAAAUUUUCAUUUUUAUUAUUUUCAUUUCAUGAUCUUAACAAGCAACUACAUGGAUUCAUUGGAAGCACUAAAGAAACUUUAAAGUUAAGAAAUUAGAGCUACCAGAAAAAAAAGGCCUUGAGACUUUCAUCCUUGUCGUUUGCAAUUUCCAUCAUCAUCAUAGAUGCUAUAACUAUAAGACUCGGUUUCAGAUUUACUCUCCAACAUCACUGAUAUCAGCAGAAGAAGUGCUUGAUCAAUUUUCUGUACUAAAAGAACCCCGAUGCUUACAAAUGUAUUUUGAAAAUAGAGACUAAACAUGUGCAUAAAUCAUAUAUCAACUUGUGCAACAGGUAGAUAACAACCUUCUGGCCUUGUUCCUUGAUUUCUCAUGCCUUCGAUACCCGUCCCCCGCCUUCCAUCCCUUCUUCUCUGGUAUCCCCGUAACUUUCACCACCUCAUCGGCAUAGGCAGAAGGCUCCUGAAGAACCUGCAGUUCCUCUCGGAGCAUCCUUACCGCAACCACAACCCACAUAAGCCGUCGCCAUGAACAAAAGAUGGCAUUGGAAUUUAAAUCUUAUCUUCCUUGCUUUAACAUUCAACAUUCCAUAAAACAAACUAUGACACCGCCCAAACACGAUAAAUGAAUAGGACGCCGAGCACGCGAAGAACAAACGCCCAAGAAAGCAAUUCUAGGGUUAGGGUUUUAGAAUGGGGGCAUGUACCUCAGGCAUCGGGAUGCUUCAAGGCGCAGAAGUUUGUUGGUCUUCUGCAGAAUCUGGAGCUGGAGAUCGUGAAUGCGCUACAAAUAGUCGUGCGGCAUCCCCUGUCCUCUGCCUCCUUGGAACUUCGCCGUCAGUGACCACAUAUCCCCCUCCGCGUCCGCCGGCUGCUUCUUCCGAGUUUAUCUCUCGCCUCUUAGAAUGUUCGUGCGAUUCUUUUUUGCGUUUAAACCCCCAAACAAAUCGGUAUGUGUUUUCUACUAUAAUAUAUUAUAU